UGGGGAAUAUUGGACAAUGGGCGAAAGCCUGAUCCAGCCAUGCCGCGUGUGUGAAGAAGGUCUUCGGAUUGUAAAGCACUUUAAGUUGGGAGGAAGGGCACUUACCUAAUACGUAUCUGUUUUGACGUUACCGACAGAAUAAGCACCGGCUAACUCUGUGCCAGCAGCCGCGGUAAUACAGAGGGUGCAAGCGUUAAUCGGAAUUACUGGGCGUAAAGCGCGCGUAGGUGGUUUGUUAAGUUGGAUGUGAAAUCCCCGGGCUCAACCUGGGAACUGCAUUCAAAACUGACAAGCUAGAGUAUGGUAGAGGGUGGUGGAAUUUCCUGUGUAGCGGUGAAAUGCGUAGAUAUAGGAAGGAACACCAGUGGCGAAGGCGACCACCUGGACUGAUACUGACACUGAGGUGCGAAAGCGUGGGGAGCAAACAGGAUUAGAUACCCUAGUAGUCCCUGAGCGGGCUGGCAAGGCGCAU
rnacentral:rRNA from 1 species